GGUGGAAGAGGAGAAGGUCGUGGAGCUGCUAGUUUAUUACAAUCACAUGAUGAUCUCUCUUCAUAUCAGAGGCAUAGUCUAUCUCCAUCUCUAGCUCCAGCUCCAGCUUUGCAACAUACAUAUCACAGGUCCCGUGGUUCUGGUGGUAGCAGUGAUAAGGGAAAAGGUUUUGCACAUGGAGAGUGUUCUAUGGAUGCAGAUCAUUAUGCAUAUGGGACUUAUGGUACAAGUGAAUCUUCAAUGGAAGCAACCUCUACCGGUGAUUAUGGAUAUAAAGGAAAUUUUCAAUGGGAAUACUCAAAUCCAUAUCCAUAUCAGCCUCCUCCAUCGUAUUCUGAUUUAUCUUUGUCAGAGCAAUCAUCCUCCCACGCCCAAACCCAGUCCAAUCCUAGUGAUCAAUUUGGUAUGGGUUCAUUCUUCAGCUUUGAUCCAUCACAAUACUAUCAAUAUCAUCAAGAUCAAAGCUCUCAAUCACAAGAUGAAGGUGGUGGAUCUACUCAAGAACCUGCUAGACGCUCAUUUUGGUGGUAAUUGAGGUGAGAACAGUGCUGAGAUUAUUGCGCGAUAAGAACGGGAUUUGUUGCCGACAAUGAUGAAUGGCAUUUUGUACUGGCCCAUGUGUGAUUUUAUCACUUUCAAAUUCAUCCCUGUCCAUUUACAGCCACUGGUUAGCAAUUCAUUUUCGUAUCUAUGGACAGUUUAUAUGACAUAUAUGGCAAGUCUAGAGAAAGUGAACGCGAACAAAUGAUUAGCUCAAUGUUAAGGGUUGGUGGAUAAACAUUGAAUCAUGCCUUCUCCCGACAUGCUAUUGUGUUGUCAAUGGUGGGAGCUAGGUUGAAUUUGAUAGUUGUUGCAGUCUUUCCUAAUAUAGCUGAGCAGCAACAAUCAUAUUUUUAUUUUCUCAAACAGCAACAAUCAUGUUAGCUAGUGUAAUUGAAUGGAUAUUGUAUACAGCAAAGUGUAAUACCAUAGGAGACAUUUAUCUUCAUAAACGAGUGGAUAUUCCAUAUGAAAAAGUUGAUGAUAUGAAGUGCACUAAAUUGUUGAGUUGCAAUUUAUUAAUAGCUUGCAAAUUGAAGUUACCUAUCUGCAUUGGUCCAAGCUAUUUGGUCUCUCCUUUUGCAGCCACCAGGAUUUCAGUUUGCAGAUUGGCUAGCACAAUUAGUUAAUUAGCUGGUUUUUUGUGCUGUGUUUCUGAGUGAUUGAUCCCCUUAUCAGCUUGUUAGUGUUGGUUAGAGAUCGUUAAUGUUUCUUAGUUUGCUCUUGAAUGAAAAUUUUCAAUUACAAAAUAUCUUAAAUUUCCGAAUCCUAAAUACAUCAUGAUAUCUGCCUAAACAAAUGAAACCCAGAUCAGUAUGCAGCAAAGAAUUGCUACCAUGUACAGUAAUUAAAAGCUCAAUCCGGAAUGCAGCAAGGAAUUCAACCAGAUUUAAAACCCAAAUGAAGUAUAAGGCCUCAACACCCUUGUUUUUUAAUACUACAACCAAAAUGGAAAAUAAAUAUUUACGAAACAAAGCAUAUUCUAAUUUUGUCCAAACAAGCUGACAGAUACAAGUUUCAGGUGAUACUGUGCAUUGAAUUGUCUUCUCAGCAUCUUCCUGGAUGAUAGAAAACUAACUACCAAUGAGAAUAAUAGAUAAAAGUCUUCUUUGUGAAGCCCUAUAUAGCUUCCUGAAAAUGCCUACAUGCUUAAUGAUGUAGAAGUCAAUAGGUAGCCUUACCUGAGAGAACAUAUGUAACCAAUUGGCAUCACCACCAGUCUAUUUUACUAACAAGGAUAAUUGAAGCCAGUCCUCUGACAAAGGAAAUGCCUGUGAAGAACUUCCAAGAAGAUAGCAACCAUUUUUCUUGUUUUUUAUUUUCUUUUAAAAAAAUUCUGCUUAGUGAGAUUCCAAGCCAAAAACAUGAUUAUUAUCAAUGCUUACAAAACUUACGCUCCAGAAGGCGUAAUUCAGCUAAGUGACAAAGAAUAUUAGUUUGAUGGUCAUGAAAAACCAUGAUAUCUAUUCAACUGAUAAUUGUAGGAUAGAAAGAUCAAUGCAUCAUUUAAAUUUUCAACCUGCAACUACUUAUCCAGUAUUGAUGAUGCCAAAGCAAUUUGUUGAGAUUGUAUCAAAUUUUCUUUGAUGUAGCAUCACAUUUUCCAAUGCACAUGGAAAGGUAAGAUCUUCCUGGAAUUAUUCCAAGAUUUGUAUUCUGCCAUAACAUAUAUAGAUUCUUCAAAGCUUCA